AGCUUCAGCACAAUGGACCAUGCCCACCCCACCAAUCCACAUUGGUUACUGUCCAUCUUCUCACUAAUUCUGUUGAUCUUUGUCAUUGGAGAGAGAGAUUGUGCAGGUACAAGCAAAGGGCUUACAAAGGGAGGCCUCUCAGACAUAGUAGCAGUCUCUCCCCCUGAACGGCAACCACUGCUCCCCAGCCUUUGGAGUCCCAUCAGACAUACGGCACCACGAGAAAGAUCCUCCCAUGAUUCGAAUGGGCCUCCUUCCAAGACACCUGUAGCUCUCCAUUUCUAUUAUCAUGAUUAAUGUGCCAACAAUACACAACCCUAACCACUGCAUAAACCAGCCUGUCGUGGAGAAGGGGGGAAAAGAGACCCCAAAACCGAAACCAAAACAAAAGAUGAUUUGGUUCACGUGCAUUCUCAUGAGAAGGAAAAUAAAUGAGUGAAUCAGCAAAGAUACCCUACGAGUGUAUCGCUGAACUUGGCACAAGCUGACAACCGGUGAUUGAUGACUGGGUGAGUGGAUUAAUGACUAGAUCCGUGGAGGGGAUCUCUGUGAAGUCGGGUGGAACCUUCACCUCCAUACCCACGGCAUCUUGCAAGGUGCCCAGCACACAACAGGUCGCUCAAUAAAUG